CAGAUUGAAUUACUACAGCAGCCGAACC
rnacentral:sRNA from 1 species